AGUGAACGCUGGCGGUAGGCCUAACACAUGCAAGUCGAACGGCAGCACAGUAAGAGCUUGCUCUUACGGGUGGCGAGUGGCGGACGGGUGAGGAAUACAUCGGAAUCUACUUUUUCGUGGGGGUUAACGUAGGGAAACUUACGCUAAUACCGCAUACGACCUACGGGUGAAAGCAGGGGAUCUUCGGACCUUGCGCGAUUGAAUGAGCCGAUGUCGGAUUAGCUAGUUGGCGGGGUAAAGGCCCACCAAGGCGACGAUCCGUAGCUGGUCUGAGAGGAUGAUCAGCCACACUGGAACUGAGACACGGUCCAGACUCCUACGGGAGGCAGCAGUGGGGAAUAUUGGACAAUGGGCGCAAGCCUGAUCCAGCCAUACCGCGUGGGUGAAGAAGGCCUUCGGGUUGUAAAGCCCUUUUGUUGGGAAAGAAAAGCAGCAGGUUAAUACCCCGCUGUUCUGACGGUACCCAAAGAAUGAGCACCGGCUAACUUCGUG
rnacentral:rRNA from 1 species